rnacentral:rRNA from 1 species
CCUACGGGUGGCUGCAGUGAGGAAUAUUGGUCAAUGGACGAGAGUCUGAACCAGCCAAGUAGCGUGCAGGAUGACGGCCCUAUGGGUUGUAAACUUCUUUUAUAAGGGAAUAAAACGAGGCACGUGUGCCUCUUAUCGUGUGCUUCAUUAAUAAGGAGCGGCUAACUUCGUGCGAGCAGCCGCGGUAAUACGGAGGAUCCCAGGGUUAUCCGGAGUUAUUGGGGUUAAAGGGAGCGUAUAUGGGUUGUUAAGUCAGUUGUGAAAGGUCGCGGCUCAACCGUAGAAUUGCACGUGAUACUGGCAGUCUUGAGUGCAGUUGAGGGAGGCGGAAUUCGUGGUGUAGCGGUGAAAUGCUUAGAUAUCAUGAAGAACUCCGAUCGCGAAGGCAGGUUACUAAACUGUGACUGACAUUGAGGCUCGAAAGUGUGGGUAUCAAACAGGAUUAGAUACCCUUGUAGUC